GAUGAAGAACGUAGCGAAAUGCGAUACGUAGUGUGAAUUGCAGAAUUCAGUGAAUCAUCGAAUCUUUGAACGCACAUUGCGCCCGCUAGUAUUCUGGCGGGCAUGCCUGUCCGAGCGUCAUUUCAACCCUCAAGCCCCCGGGCUUGGUGUUGGGGAUCGGCGAGCCUCCGCGCCCGCCGUCCCCUAAAUCUAGUGGCGGUCUCGCUGUAGCUUCCUCUGCGUAGUAGCACACCUCGCACUGGGAAACAGCGCGGCCACGCCGUUAAACCCCCAACUUCUGAACGUUUGACCUCGGAUCAGGUAGGAAUACCCGCUGAACUUAAGCAUAUCAAUAAGCGGAGGA
rnacentral:misc_RNA from 1 species